rnacentral:tRNA from 2 species
GUCCCCGUAGCUUAUAGCAAAGCAUGGCACUGAAGAUGCCAAGAUGGCCACUACACGUCGCCCAUGGACA